ACGAACGCUGGCGGCGUGCUUAACACAUGCAAGUCGAACGGAAAGGCCCUGCUUUUGUGGGGUGCUCGAGUGGCGAACGGGUGAGUAACACGUGAGUAACCUGCCCUUGACUUUGGGAUAACUUCAGGAAACUGGGGCUAAUACCGGAUAGGAGCUCCUGCUGCAUGGUGGGGGUUGGAAAGUUUCGGCGGUUGGGGAUGGACUCGCGGCUUAUCAGCUUGUUGGUGGGGUAGUGGCUUACCAAGGCUUUGACGGGUAGCCGGCCUGAGAGGGUGACCGGCCACAUUGGGACUGAGAUACGGCCCAGACUCCUACGGGAGGCAGCAGUGGGGAAUAUUGCGCAAUGGGCGGAAGCCUGAUGCAGCAACGCCGCGUGCGGGAUGACGGCCCUCGGGUUGUAAACCGCUUUCGCCUGUGACGAAGCGUGAGUGACGGUAAUGGGUAAAGAAGCACCGGCUAACUACGUG
rnacentral:rRNA from 1 species